UACGUAGGGGGCAAGCGUUGUCCGGAAUCAUUGGGCGUAAAGCGCGUGUAGGCGGCUCAGUAAGUCCGCUCUGAAAGCCCGGGGCUUAACCCCGGGAGGCGGGUGGAUACUGCUGAGCUCGAGUCCGGAAGAGGCGAGUGGAAUUCCCGGUGUAGCGGUGAAAUGCGCAGAUAUCGGGAGGAACACCAAUGGCGAAGGCAGCUCGCUGGGACGUGACUGACGCUGAGACGCGAAAGCGUGGGGAGCAAACAGG
rnacentral:rRNA from 1 species